AGCGCAAUCAAUUGCCGCUUAAUUGGCGGAUAGUAUGAAUGGUUGAACGAGAAUUUCACUGUCUCAAAUAUAGAUUAAAAAAAUUAAAAUAAUAGUUAAGAUGCUAUUUAAAAUCGUAAGACGAUAAGACCCUAUAAAGCUUAACUAUAUCCCUAUAUAUUUUUGAAUAAAAAUUUGUGGGGUUGGUAGUUUACUUGGGGCAAGGGUUCUUUAAAUGUAACAAGAAUAAGCAAUAGUAAUAGUAAUUAACUUUAUUGUAUAAUUCAUGUAUUUAACAAUCACUAUGUGGGCUAUAAUGACCCGUUAGUACUUAAAAAAAGGAUUAACGAUCACUAAAUAAAAGCUACUUUAGGGAUAACAGGGUAAUUUUAAUACUGAGUUCUCAUUGGUGUUGAAGUUUGCCACCUCGAUGUUGAAUUGAGAUUUCCUGGUGGAGCAGGAGCUACCAAGGGUAGGACUGUUCGUCCUUUAAAUAUCUUACAUGAU
rnacentral:rRNA from 1 species